UGGAGGAAAAGAAACUAACCAGGAUUCCCCCAGUAGCGGCGAGUGAAGCGGGAACAGCCCAAGCCUGUAAUCUCCUAUGCAUUGCAUUGGCGAAUUGUAGUCUGGAGAAGGGCCAUCCCCGAAGUGGUCCUCCCAAAGUCGCCGAGGAAAGGCGCGCCGGAGAGGGUGACAGCCCCGUGGAGGGGAGCGACCGACUAAGGGACAUGAGGCCUCUUCAGAGAGUCGGGUUGUUUGGGAAUGCAGCCCAAAGCGGGUGGUAAACUCCAUCUAAGGCUAAAUACUGGCACAAGACCGAUAGCGAAUAAGUACCGUGAGGGAAAGAUGAAAAGCACUUUGGAAAGAGAGUCAAAUAGUGCGUGAAACCGUUGGGAGGGAAGCGAAUGAGGCCGGCUCGGUCCUCUGCAGGUUCAUGUGGAACGAUGAGCGCCCUCUGGUCAGAGGAUCCCACUUGGGAACAUCAGCCGGUGGGACCGCUCGUCGCUCUAAUCUGUAUUCCUGCGUGGACCAGUCAGCGGCAGUUUCCGCUGUGUCAUGUGCAUCAAGAGGCAGUUGGCCGAGUCCCUUGGGACACGGUUCUGGCCUCUGACGCACGGCGUGGUGGAGACUGAGGGGAGUGGCGGCCCUCGCCCAAGCAGCGCAAGCCACAGGGCCGGACGGCUGCGACAACUGUGUCGGACCGGUGGGGACUGCGUGCAGUGCCCACUGAGCGAGAUGGAGGCGUUGCGGUGCAGUCACGAUGUGCGCUGAGGUCGCUGGCGCCUAGCCGGUCCCAUCCGACCCGUCUUGAAACACGGACCAAGGAGUGCAGCAUGUGCGCGAGCCUUCGGGUGGCAAACCCAUGGGCUGAGUGAAAGCGAAAGUGCGUUUGACGCACCGAGGUGAGAGCAGACGGCCCAUCGUCUGCGCAUCAUCGACCGAUCCACACCACUUGUGGUGGGAUUUGAGUGAGAGUGUGCCUGUUGCGACCCGAAAGAUGGUGAACUAUGCCCGAACAGGGUGAAGCCAGGGGAAACCCUGGUGGAAGCCCGAAGCGAUUCUGACGUGCAAAUCGAUCGUCUGAUUUGGGUAUAGGGGCGAAAGACUAAUCGAACCAUCUAGUAGCUGGUUCCCUCCGAAGUUUCCCUCAGGAUAGCUGGAACCCGUGUGUGCAGUUUUAUCAGGUAAAGCGAAUGAUUAGAGGUAUUGGGGUUGAAACAACCUCAACCUAUUCUCAAACUUUAAAUAGGUAAGAAGUCCGACUUGCUCGAGUGAAGCCGGACGUCGAAUGCAGGGUUCCUAGUGGGCCAUUUUUGGUAAGCAGAACUGGCGAUGCGGGAUGAACCGAAAGCCGGGUUAAGGUGCCAAAGUCGACGCUCAUCAGACCCCACAAAAGGUGUUGGUUGAUCCAGACAGCAGGACGGUGGCCAUAAAAGUCGGAACCCGCUAAGGAGUGUGUAACAACUCACCUGCCGAAUCAACCAGCCCUGAAAAUGGAUGGCGCUCAAGCGUCGCACCCACACCCGGCCGUCGGUCCGAGCUGGCUGGACCGACGUGUAGGAGGGCGCAGCGGUAGUGUUGCAGCCUAAGGCGCGAGCCUGGGUCGAACUGCCGUUGGUGCAGAUCUUGGUGGUAGUAGCAAAUAUUCAAAUGAGAACUUUGAAGACUGAAGUGGAGAAAGGUUCCAUGUGAACAGCAGUUGGACAUGGGUGAGUCGGUCCUAAGGGACGGGUUAACUCCUAGCAAGCGCGCACUCUCGGUUCGCCGGGAAGGCGCCCCCUCCCGAAAGGGAAUCGGGUUAAUAUUCCCGAACCGGAACGUGGAUAGGGUCGGUGAUCCCCGCGGUCGCCGACCACGGCGGUAACGCAAGCGAACUCGGAGACGCUGGCGGGGGCUCUGGGAAGAGUUCUCUUUUCUUCUUGACGGGCCGACCCCCUGGAAUGGGAUUGCCCCGAGAUAGGGUUCUGUGCUCGGCAAAGCGCUGCACCUCUUGCGGCGUCCGGUGCGCUCCCGACAGCCCUUGAAAAUCCGAGGGAGUGGAUGAUUCUCACGUCCGGCCGUACUCAUAACCGCAUCAGGUCUCCA
rnacentral:rRNA from 1 species